AGACAGGUUCAACAACAGAUAUAAAGCACAAGAUGAUAAGAAGCACACCCAAGAUUGGAGUUACCUGAAACACAUCAAGGAUUUCAAAAGAAAACAAAGCCAACAUUUGUGUUCUUCUUCCAGGGACAAAAAAGUCAGCAAUGCAGUUUGUUUGAAUUGUUUAAAUUUGUAUUCAGUCGGUUACCAUGAAUGAUGAAGAAAGAAAUGCCUAAAAAUACGUUUGUUGGUUCUUUGGCAUAAGUGAAAAUUUUGAACUGAUUUCAUGAAGAGUAAAGUGCUAGCAACUUUCCUUACAUCCAAAAUAUAAG